UACGAAGGGUGCUAGCGUUGCUCGGAAUUACUGGGCGUAAAGGGAGCGUAGGCGGAUAGUUUAGUCAGAGGUGAAAUCCCGGGGCUCAACCUCGGAACUGCCUUUGAUACUGGCUAUCUUGAGUAUGGGAGAGGUGUGUGGAACUCCGAGUGUAGAGGUGAAAUUCGUAGAUAUUCGGAAGAACACCAGUGGCGAAGGCGACACACUGGCCCAUUACUGACGCUGAGGCUCGAAAGCGUGGGGGGCAAACAGG
rnacentral:rRNA from 1 species